AAAGUCACCCCCUACGUGAGGCCAAAACGUGAGCACAGAUCAGCAGGGACCUCUGCGCUGGUCAGGACCCACCUCCCCAUGCUCAAGGUCAUCCACAAACAGCUCAUUGACCUCCAGGAGCCGGUCCCCAUUCCUCAGGCCUGCCUUCUCCGCCACACCAAAUGUUUCCACAUGUCUGACCACGUGACCUGGUAGACCUCUCUCCACACGCAGGGAGGUUGAAGCAGCUCCAAUGAGAAGCCCCAGAGAUUGGGCUACCAGGGCAGUGGAGGUGGACAGAGCCAUGAAGAGCAGAUACCUGCCUGCUUCUGGAGGCUGCUCCGUCAUCCAGUACACUAUACUACAGU